rnacentral:lncRNA from 1 species
GAUUGAUAUUUAUUCUUUUUUCUGUUUAUGAUCUUACUGGUGUUUUUUUGAUGUCUCUUUAGACCAGGACUAGUUGGACGUCACCAGACAUUGACCCCAGGACCUCCACCCACAGCCUCCCCACAGACAUGUCUCAACCCAAUUUCCCCUACAAUAAAUCAGCUUCUCUGCCGGGGUAUGGACGCAAUGGCAUCUACAAGGCGGCUGAUCUUGGAGAAGAUGACCAUGACUCCAACUGGGGAGCAAUGAGAGAGUACAAGGUAAGUUUGUAAGUUUAUAUAUAUUCAAAUGUAUGUCAUAUAAUUGGAUUGUUCCUAUGCAGUUGUUAACCUUGUAUUGAUAUGUUUUCCUAUUAUAGUACAAAGAUGUAAAUGUUUGUAAAUGUUUACAAAGACUAUAAGCUAGUACUGUGUAUAUGUGGAUAUGUAGUGUGUACUCAGUGUGUGUGUGUGUGUGUGUGUGUGUAGGCAUACCCGUAUGAAAUGCUAGCUGUGACUCACAGAGCUCGGGUGAAGUUGCCGCGGGAUGUGGACCGCACUCGACUAGAGGUAACACCCCUUAUCACAUCCAAUCAGAACAGAGGUCAUUUACAUACAGUAUAAUA